rnacentral:lncRNA from 1 species
GCCCUACUGGGGUGAUGUGUGAUGGUGCCACUGUCCCGCUCCCAUCUGAGGGGUCACUGCUCACCUGGCUGCCAGGAUGGAUCCUGGGAAUCUGCCCCUGGUCUGGGGAGGAACAGCUGAGCCUCGCUGGGAUGUCUGGGGAUGUUCCCCCAGCUCUGUCCAUAGGAGCUCCAGACCCCCAGGGGCUCAGGGAGGGCUCAGUGGGGACCCCCAGGUGGAGCCUCCUGUACUUCCAGGUGCCACUGGAAUCCGAGGGUGAGGAGGCCGCUCUGCCCGAGCAGGAGCUGGGGAGCAGCGUGGGCAGCCGGGAGCUCCGUGGGAUCGCCAGGAAGGGGAACUACGAGGCCAUGGUCCCUCUCGGUGACAUGAUCGUGAUCAAGACGGAAGAG